CAAGUCUGCUUCGAACAAAAUCUUGAAGAGUCUAGUCCAGUGUUUCUCAACCUGUGCGCCGCGGCGCACUUGUGCGCCGCGGGGAUCACAUAGGUGCGCCGCGAGUACUCGGACACGUCCUGUACCCGUCCAUCAGAGCUGCAGUCAGCUGGCAUUCCUGAGUUGCCAUAUCACUUGUCUUAUUUUACUUAUUUACAUGUUCAUGUGAAAAAUUUUAGAUGUGUGUACAAACUGAGCAUAUGCAUACCAGUUGGUUGUAUACAAGAUGGAAUAUAUGAUGUGAUUUGCGUGAACCUUUAGUAACAAUUAAUAUGGCAACAUAUAACGAGAACAUUGGGUAGGCAGCUCCAGGGCCAGGACCAAGGGGUCUCAGUGCUACAGUUGACUCCCCGUAACGCGUAGUGCUGUACUGCAUUCGUUGCUCAACGAGGCUUAAAAAUGGAGAAAUACCUCAUAAAAAAGCGUAAAUGUGCUGAAGAAAAAGAAGAAGAAGUUGCAGAGGACAUUAUUAAGUCAAAGCGUACAUGUGUCGAAGGCACUGAUGGUGACGUAACAGUAAAACCUGGUGAAAGUGAGACGUCUCGUCCAGGCCAUAUCGUGGAAAGUGAAGAAAAUGAAGUGAGAGUUGAAAGUGAGUACAGCUGUGCGGGUCCGAGCAGAAAAAGUGAUAUGACGGGCUUGAGGUCAGUUAAAACAAUGACAGGUACCAGCAAAAGUAGCCGCAGCAAGUCAUUUCGCAUGUAUAACGACAGUUACCUUGGACUUGGAUUCACUUGCUGUGAUAGCGAAAAUGGCCCUAAACCAAAAUGUGUUGUUUGUGGCUUGGAGUUAUCAAAUGAAUCUAUGACUCCACAGAAAAUGAAGAGACAUUUAUCAACUAAGCAUCGUCACCUGACACAGAAACCUAUAGAUUACUUUAAGAGACUCUUGAAAGAAAACAAACAACAAAGUCUUGGGUUUGAGAAAAAAGUGAAGGUAGCAGAAAAGGCACAGAAAGCAAGCUAUUUAGUAGCAGAACAAACAGUAAAACAAAUGAAACCCCAUUCAAUUGCAGAAUCCUAUUUUCUUCCAGCUUGCUGUUCUGUAGUGAAAACUUUGUUUGGGGAUGAGGCUGAAAAAGAAGUGAAAAAAAUUCCUCUCUCAAACGAUACGAUUGGCAGAAAAAUCAAGGAUAUGUCAUCUGACAUUGAGAAAAGUGUGUGUGAACUGGUGAAAGAUAAAAUGUUUGCCUUACAAGCGGACGAAUCAACAGAUAUUGGAGGGAAACCUCAGUUACUUGUGUUCAUCCGUUUCAUUGAUGAUAAGAAAAUAACCGAGCAAUUCUUGUGCUGCAAAGAACUAAGUCAAACAACAGGACAGGAAAUAUUUUCUACAGUGACAGAAUAUUUGGUAGAAAUGGACUUAACAUGGAAAUUAUGUGUAGGAAUUUGCACAGAUGGUUGUCCAUCAAUGGUGGAGUCAGUAAAGGGUUUUGUGUCUUUAGUGAAGAAGGAAAAUCCAUUUCUGAUUACCACACAUUGUUUCUUGCACCGUGAAGCUCUUGUUGCUAAAACACUUGGACAAGAUUUAAAAUUUGUUCUUGAUAAUGUCGUGAAAAUGGUGAACUUUAUUAAAAGUAGACCAAAGCAGUCAAGAUUAUUUUCCAGUCUUUGUGAAGAAAUGGGAUCUGCCCACGAAGGUCUUCUCCUCCACACGGAAGUUCGGUGGUUGUCAAGAGGCAGAGUGUUAUCCCGUGUGCAUGAACUAAGAGAGGAAAUUCUUCUUUUCUUUGCUCUUGAAGAGAAAACAGAAUUCUGCGAAUUACUGGCUGACGAAAUUUGGAAUGCAAAAUUAUGUUAUUUGGCAGAUAUAUUUGAGCAUUUGAACAAGGUGAAUGUAAGUAUGCAAGGGAGAAAUGAAAAUAUGUUAACAUGCACUGAUAAAAUGCAGUCAAUGAAAGAAAAAAUCAAGGUUUGGAAAGACAGGUCAAGUGAAGGUAAUAUUGACAUGUUUCAAAAGACUGCUGCAGCAAACAACACAGACAUUGUUCCACUCAUUACAGACCACCUUACAAGCCUAGAAAGGAGCAUUGAAAAAUACUUCACAAAUAUAUCUACUGAAAGUUAUGAUUGGCUGAGAAAUCCAUUCGUGCUCGAUCCCUUACACAAGCCUCAACUUAGCACUCAUGAAGAAGAGGAACUAAUUGAUAUCCGAAAUGACCGCACAUUAAGACUGCAAUAUAUGGAAAUGUCAUUAGAAAGCUUUUGGAUUGAAAUGGAAAAACAAUACCCACAUAUUUCAAAAAAGGCCCAGAAAAUACUCUUGCAGUUUUCGACCUCAUAUUUGUGUGAACUGGGAUUUUCAGCACUAACAAAUAUAAAAACUAAGAAAAGAUGUAACUUGCUCUCUGUUGAAGAGGAAAUGAGAGUGUGUCUGUCAGCUGUCCCUCCCAACAUAGAGAGGAUAUGUAAAUCCAGGCAGGCACAGGUGUCUUAUUGAUAAGGACGUGGGGUGGGUGCUG